AGACGGAGGGUGCAAGCGUUAUCCGGAUUCACUGGGUUUAAAGGGUACGUAGGCGGUCAGGUAAGUCGAUGGUGAAAUCUACCAGCUCAACUGGUAACGUGCCAUCGAUACUGUCUGACUUGAGUGUAGUCGAGGUGGGCGGAAUUCUACAUGUAGCGGUGAAAUGCAUAGAUAUGUAGAGGAACACCAAUAGCGAAGGCAGCUCACUAGACUAUCACUGACGCUGAGGUACGAAAGCGUGGGGAGCAAACAGGAUUAGAAACCCCAGUAGUCC
rnacentral:rRNA from 1 species